rnacentral:SRP_RNA from 1 species
GCUGGGUGCGGUGGCGCGUGUCUGUAGUCUCAGCUACUCGGGAGGCUGAGGUGGGAGGAUCACUUGAGCCCAGGAGUUCUGGGCUGUAGUGCGCUAUGCUGAUCAGGUGUCCACACUAAGUUUGGCAUCAAUAUGGUGACCUCCUGGGACCAGGGGACCACCAGUUUGCCUAAGGAGGAGUGAACCGGCCCAGGUCAGAAAUGGAGCAGGUCAAAACUUCCAUGCUGAUCAGUAGUGGGAUCAUGCCUGUGAAUAGCCACUGCACUCCAGCCUGGGCAACAUAGCGGGG